GUAGGGAAUCUUCCACAAUGGGCGAAAGCCUGAUGGAGCAACGCCGCGUGUGUGAUGAAGGGUUUCGGCUCGUAAACACUGUUGUAAGAGAAGAAUGACAUUGAGAGUAACUGUUCAAUGUGUGACGGUAUCUUACCAGAAAGGAACGGCUAAAUACGUGCCAA
rnacentral:rRNA from 1 species